UGGCACCUGUACUUGGAUAAGAGUU
rnacentral:piRNA from 1 species